ensembl:lncRNA
UGGAGAAAGUGGCUGGAUACUUUCACAGCUGUGUUGGAAGGCAGAUCACUGCAGCCGUCAAAGAGUGCAGCAGGACCUUAAUAGGCAAUGGGUGAGCAUGGUUUGCCCUGCAGAAACAGGAAUUUCAGUGCCAGAAGAAGUGAUUUGUAAGGAUGUUCCACAACACACGAUGCUGCUGGGACUCCCACUGCCAACACUACAACUCUGUGAGAGCUGGACAUCUCAUUCUUUCACCUCCUGUCCCUUAACCAGUUAUUUCUCUGCCAGAGAACCCUACCAUUUAUACCGGGACUCUUUCAUUUCUUUAAGAGACAUUCACAAGAGGCCUUGUCUGAACUCUUUGAAAAUCCAGGUGCACCUAGGUUACCGUCACCCACCUCUCUUGUUUGCUGCAGCCACCACAGCUUUACAGGUUGCCUUCACGGUCCAGGCAAUGAUGUGAACAAGAGAUAUCAAAUGCUCAGGAAGUGAUGGGAUUUCAGCACAGAUAUCCACCUAACUUAAAUCUUGCUUUUCAUGACUUGGUAACUCCCAACCAUGUAGUGUCCGUGAACUAGAAAGCUUGGUAAAUGUCUGGAAGUUAAAGACUCAAAUUAAUGCCUGCAAUGUGUAAGUGUCCU